GGCCUUUGGGAUGCGAACAGCCAAUUUUUCAGCGCGAAUGGCCGGCCCAACCCGCGAACUUUUCUCCCAAAAUCAACAGACAGUCACACCGCGCACACAUCAGCCAAAUCCCUAGCUUUCCUUCGUACGCAUUCAUUCCCCACGCCGGUCAAUCUCCGCGCCGCCGCCUCCACACCGGCCGAUCUCCGCGUUGCCGCCUCCACGCCGGUCGAUCUCCACGCCUCCGCCCCCCACGCCGGUCGAUCCGCACGCCUCCCACCGCCGCCCGACGCCGACCGGGGCUUCCUCCAAUCGAUCCCCACCCCGUCCCACCGCCGCCCAACGCCAUCGAUCUUGCCCCUCCGGCCGUGGUGAAGCACUCCCCGGAGGCGCUGCUGCUCGUGGUGUCCAACCCCGUCGACGUCCUCACCUACCUCGCCUUGAAGCUUCCAGGGUUGUGUUCGAGGUGAGCGGCGUCAUCUGCUCCGGUACCAACCUCGAUGUCUCCAGGAUAUGGUUCCUCAUCAACGAGCCCUCCUCCAUUCAACGCGCAGGACGUGCAGGUAACUUACUAGGCCCGGAUCCAUCCAUGAAUCCAUUGGCCUCUUGCUCCCCGGAUGAAAAUUUCUCAGGUUCAUAGAGAUACUUUACGAGUAUUUGUUUUUUAAGAAAGUCUAACUUGUUACUAAUCUGUUCGAUGGUUUCCAGAAGAAGGGAGCAUAUGUAACAAGCCUUCUAGAUACUCUUCAUGUUACUGAUUUUCUCAUAGAAAAUUCUUCAUUGCCAUAUAUAUUUUCUGUUGACAUAUCAUUAAGCAUCAGUACUGUAUUUUGAUUCCUUUUCUCGAUUAUAGAAGAUGUUAUUUGUCCAGCCUAUACUCAUGUUUAAUUUCCCCAUAGUUUGCUUCCUUAUUUUCUUUCCCAUGUAAUUAUUAUGUAGCUAUUCUACAUUCUGCGUAGUACUAAUCAGAUUCAAGGCAGUAGUUAUAUCGUUGAUUAGUUUUUGCAAUUUCUGCUACAUAUAUAUGUAGAUUUGUGAAAGUAUUUCUAAACAUGUUACCAGGUUUAAUGGAAGAAAUCCUACAAAUGAAAUAAGAAUAAUGUUAGGUAAGGUGUCGGGGGUGUCCUGCCUCCUCUGUUCAAUUUACACUGCUUCCAGUGUCCUCACAUAAUAAAUCUAAAUUAAAUAAAGUCGAUAUAUUAUUAUAUCUUCUGGACCAAAUGAUCUCCAUGUUAUGAAUAUUUAUCUACAAUAGUAUGUCCUUAAUCAAAAUUCCAUGUAUAUUAAAUGAUGGAAGUAGUAGAAUCUUUGUUGCAGUGUUUUAUAGUUUCAUUUAUCAGAGACAAUACUGCUUGAAAGUAUUCUAAUUCCACCGAGGGUGAAUGAAUUUUAAUCAGGAGUGUUGUGCUGCAGGAUUCCCAGCCCACCCCAGCAUCCCCUUCAACCCCGAACCGGUUUACUGUUGCGCCUCUGCAACCUUACAGGCCGCCGCAGUCGAUGCAGCAGCUAGCAGCAGGGCCCAUUGUCGUACUCGCGCAUCCCAGGUUCAUCUGCUUGCUGCUGUUUCGGCCAUCACUGGGUCCAUAGUUACUGUACACCUUCUACUCAAUAUUUGACAGAGUAACAAAAGAUGGUUGAUAAAUAUGUUGCUCUGAACCUUGGCUUAUUAAUUGGCGGAGCUUUGACAGGGCGAACCUGGGCACCCCAGGUCAUUUACUUAGAAGAUGAGCACUCCACCAGGCUGUUUGUAGUAAACAACUUUGGCGAUGCUCACGACAGGCAGUGACGCUAUGUGAUGGUGUCGAGCGUUGGGUAGGAAAGCAGAACAUCAUCAACUCUGCCUCACCUCUUCCACUAGUGUUGUCCGAUGUGUUCAAGCUGGAGGAUGUUCUGCAAUGAGAUGUAGAAUGAAGGCUUUGAUGUCAAGUACGAGAACGAUGCAAGGAUGUUGGUGGAAGGCUGUGAGGAUGGGUAUGUAGUUGCCCACUACAAGGAGCCAAGGCAGAUGAUGUGCCUCUUAGAAAAAUUCCAGUAAACAACACUAGGAAUUUUUGCUCUCAGACAAUGAACCAUAAUGUCUCCUCUAUUUCAUUAGUUACAUCAGUUUAUAGGAAACUUGGAUGGCCAUUGGUUCAUAACAUAUGCACUAUUUAUAUGUAAAAAUUAGUGAAUGUGUGUUAUAAUUGUUUGGUUCUGAUAUAUUAUUCUUGGUCGACAUGAAUGUUACUGUUGUGAAUUAUGUAACUUGAUUGAUGUUCUGAUGGUAAAGUGAAAUGUAGCUAUGUGAGGGGAAACAGAAGAUUGUC